rnacentral:tRNA from 1 species
AAGGGUAUAGCUCAGUGGUAGAGCACGUGCUUAGCAUGCAUGAGGCCCUGGGUUCAAUUCCCAGUAUCUCCA